CAGCAGCCGCGGGAAUACGGAGGGGGCUAGCGUUGUUCGGAAUUACUGGGCGUAAAGCGCACGUAGGCUGCUUUGUAAGUCAGAGGUGAAAGCCCGGGGCUCAACCCCGGAUGUGCCUUUGAGACUGCAGGGCUAGAACGUCGGAGAGGUGAGUGGAAUUCCGAGUGUAGAGGUGAAAUUCGUAGAUAUUCGGAAGAACACCAGUGGCGAAGGCGGCUCACUGGACGACUGUUGACGCUGAGGUGCGAAAGCGUGGGGAGCAAACAGGAUUAGAUACCCCCGUAGUCCCUGUCUCUUAUAC
rnacentral:rRNA from 1 species